rnacentral:rRNA from 1 species
GAUGAACGCUGGCGGCGUGCCUAAUACAUGCAAGUCGAGCGAACGGACGAGACGCUUGCUUCUCUGAUGUUAGCGGCGGACGGGUGAGUAACACGUGGAUACCCUACCUAUAAGACUGGUAUAACUUCGGGAAACCGGAGCUAAUACCGUAUAAUAUUUUGAACCGCAUGGUUCAAUAGUGAAAUACGGUCUUGCUGUCACUUAUAGAUGGAUCCGGGCUUUAUUAGAUAGUUGGUAAGGUAACGGCUUACCAAGGCAACGAUGCAUAGCCGAACUGAGAGGGUGAUAGGCGACACUGGAGCGGGGACGGGGUCAAGACUCCUAAGGGAGGCAGCAGUAGGGAAUGUGACGCAAUGGGCGAGAGCAUGGCGGAGCAACGCCGCGUGAGUGAUGAAGGUCUUCGGAUCGUAAAACUCUGUUAUUAGGGAAGAACAUAUGUGUAAGUAAAUGUGCACAGCUUGACGGUACCUAAUCAGAAAGCCACGGCUAACUACGUG